rnacentral:rRNA from 1 species
GAGUUUGAUACCUCGGCUCAACGGACUUGAACGCUGGCGGCAGGCCUAACACAUGCAAGUCGAGCGGUAGAGAGAAGCUUGCUUCUCUUGAGAGCGGCGGACGGGUGAGUAAUGCCUAGGAAUCUGCCUGGUAGUGGGGGAUAACGCUCGGAAACGGACGCUAAUACCGCAUACGUCCUACGGGAGAAAGCAGGGGACCUUCGGGCCUUGCGCUAUCAGAUGAGCCUAGGUCGGAUUAGCUAGUUGGUGAGGUAAUGGCUCACCAAAGGCGACGAUCCGUAACUGGUCUGAGGGGAUGAUCAGUCACACUGGAACUGAGACACGGUCCAGACUCCUACGGGAGGCAGCAGUGGGGAAUAUUGGACAAUGGGCGAAAAGCCUGAUCCAGCCAUGCCGCGUGUGUGAAGAAAGGUCUUCGGAUUGUAAAAGCACUUUAAAGUUGGGAGGAAGGGCAGUAAAUUAAUAACUUUGCUGUUUUGAGUUACCGACAGAAUAAAGCACCGGCUAAACUCUGUGCCAGCCGCCGACCGG